AGUGAACGCUGGCGGUAGGCCUAACACAUGCAAGUCGAACGGCAGCACAGGAGAGCUUGCUCUCUGGGUGGCCAGCGGCGGACGGGUGAGGCAUACAUCGGAAUCUACCUUUUCGUGGGGGACAACGUAGGGAAACUUACGCUCAUCCCGCAUACGACGUACGGGUGCAAGCGGGGGACCUUAGUGCCUUUCGCGGAAAAAUGAGACGAUGUCGGAUGAGAUAGUUGGCGGGGUAAAGGCCCACCAAGGCGACGAUCCGUAGCUGAUCUGAGAGGAUGAUCAGCCACACUGGAACUGAGACACGGUCCGAACUCCUACGGGAGGCAGCAGUGGGGAAUAUUGGACAAUGGGCGCAAGCCUGAUCCAGCCAUACCGCGUGGGUGAAGAAGGCCUUCGGGUUGUAAAGCCCUUUUGUUGGGAAAGAAAAGCAGCCGGUUAAUUCCUGGUUGUUCUGACGUUACCAACAGAAUAAGCACCGGCUAACUACGUGCCAGCAGCCGCGGUAACAC
rnacentral:rRNA from 1 species